AAUUAAAAGGAUCGGAGAUGGGAAAAUUUUCUCUUGUAUUUCUCUACUGAACACUGUACAUUGUGUAACGUAUUUAUACAACUAUGCUAAGGACUACAAUGCUAAUAUAAGACUAUAGUACUAGUAUGUAAAAAUAAAUAAAAUCCCUAACAAACUAAUCAAUUAUGUACAGCUCAUAAGAUGCCUAGAAGGGUCUAGAAGAAAACUAUACAAGGUGUCAUUAUUCCUGUGUAGUGCAGUGUAUGAUAAAAUUAGAAGUGUGCUGAUUUGGACUUAGAUACUUGGGCUGCAUCGGGAAAUGUCAAUAGGCCCAAACUGUGAAGAAGCCCAAAGUAAAAAUGAGUCCAAGUCUCAAAUCUGUAGGGCCAUAGAAUUAAUCACCGACAAGGCUAUGUUGAAUGGGAUGUGCACUAUACUUUGGUGAAGUCAAAGAGUUCUUAUUCACUUGUGUUUUCUCUGUUUCUUCUUCAUCGUCCAUCAAGGAUUUCUCACCGGAAACAUCCCCCCUCAAGUAGGAGUCCGGUGAUCGGACUCCUAACUUGCUCGUAAAAUGCCGGCGAAGAGGACCAGCCAACGCCUUUGUAAAAAGGUCAGCGACUUGAGAUGAAGUUGGGACGAAGUUCAAUGAGAUGAGUUCGAGGAGUAGUUUUUCAAGAACGAAAUGGCAAUCGAGUUUGAUGUGCUUAGUUCAUUCGUGAAAGACUGGAUUUUUAGCAAUAUGGAUGGCGGCUUGGUUGUCACAGUGCAAAGAGACCGGAAGAGAAGGCGACACACCAAGAUCUGAUAAUAGAAGAACUAUCCAUGCAAUUUCUGCCACAAGACGACGCAUAGAUCUGUACUCCGCCUCAACGGAGGAAAGGGAGACGAUGGGUUGUUUCUUGGAUUUCCAAGAAACGGGAGAUCCACCCAAACUGAGAUAAAACCCGUUAACAGAUCGGCGAGUAUCGGAGCAAGACGCCCAAUCCGCAUCACAGAAACCAAAAAGUUGAAGAGAGGGAUAAGAGUUCAUGAAAAAACCAAGUUCUGGGUUUGAACGGAUAUAACGAAGGGUGUGAUAUGCAGCUUGAAGAUGACCUGUCCGAGGAGAUUGCAUAUAUUGGCUCAAAGAUUGUACGGUGUAGGACAAAUCUGGGUGUGAGUGAGUCAAAAAAUUCAAUUGCCCCAAAAGGCGUCGGUAUAUGGUUGGGUUAGAAAGAAGAUCACCAAAAUCAAUGGUGAGUUUGAUUGUGGGGUUAAGAGCAGUGGUGGCAUUUCGAGGACCAAGAUCUGGAUGUUCAGCAAUAACAUCUCGAGCAAAUUUUUGCUGUGUGAUGAGAACACCUUCAGAGAAUAAUCAUUCAACGAAGAAGAGAAACCUCGUGUACCCAAAGCUGCUGAAAGUCAAGCAUACCACUGACGAGAAGCCUACUUAAGGCCAUAAAGGGACUUGUAGAGACGACAUACAUGAGAAGGAUGAGAUGGAGUCAAACCAGGUGGAAAACGCAUAAAAACCUCUUCAUUAAGAACUCCGUGAAGGAACACGUUAUUGACAUCAAGCUGGUACAGAGGCCAUUGACGCUUGACUGCAAUGCUUACUAUACAUCGAAUGGUGGCCAUUUUAACGACAGGGUAAUGGCCUCUUACCAGGUGGUAGAGGGACAACUUCCCAAGUGGAGUUGGACUCAACAGCCUCUAUCUCAUUAUCCAUGGCUGCUCGCCAACCCUCAUGAACAACUGCUUGCUGGUAAGAAUAGGGUUCCUAAAUCUGAUUAAUGGAAUCAGUAAUAACUUGGUUGUGCUGGCUAAGUAAAGAGUAGCAAAAUGAAUGUAGAGGAAAUUCAGGUGGAUUAGGAGAUAAAACAGAAUUAGCAUUACCACAAAUAAAAUCAGAUAAAUGUAAAGGAAAAUUAGAUUGUCUGGUUGAUCUGCGCAGCACUUGACCCUGAGGCAACACAUCCAUUCGAGGUUGGUUAGAAGGAGAGGUAAUGGGAGUACUAGAGGGAUGAAUUAUUGGACUAUUUAUAGGAGAUGAGGGUGUAGAAUAGACUGGAUCAAUAGAGGGAGUUGGAGAGGAAAUAAAAGGAGUAGGAGAUGAUAAAGUUGAAGAAAGAGGUGGUGAGUGUGUGGAAGGAGGGAGAACCAGAGGUUCUGCACACUGAAAAGAACCAGGAAACAAUCUAGACAUAGGAACUGAGUUAGUGAAAGGAAAUAUAGAUUCAAAAAAUUUAACAUUCCUGCUGAUUAUGACUUCCCUGGACUGUAAACUUUGGACUUUGUAUCCCUU